rnacentral:lncRNA from 1 species
GGCAUUGUCUAUGUUAGGCCAGAGCGAUGCCUAUGGGGCAGCCGACGCGCGGGAUCUGUCCACCCUCCUAACUAUGUUUGGCCUGCCCCAGUGACAGUGGGACGGGCUGCCCUAGGAGAAAAUUAAACACCUGGGGGAGGAAAACAGGAAGCUGUUGUGGCACCUGUCACCACCUGGGGGAUCACGAGGCAGCUGGUGUCUUGGGCUCUGCAGAAAUAUACAGCCUCUGCAGACACUGCUUCUGAAUGAACGGGCUGGAGUUUCCUUGGGAUCCUGAACUCAUAUUGGAUUCUCUACCUACCAUCUUGGACAAUUCAUGUAGGAAAACAAAUCCUCAUUUGUUCAAACAAUAGAUGAAAAUUAUUAAAGUUUUGACACAUAUUAAA